UACGUAGGGGGGCAAGCGUUGUCCGGAAUCAUUGGGCGUAAAGCGCGUGUAGGCGGCUCAGUAAGUCCGCUCUGAAAGCCCGGGGCUCAACCCCGGGAGGCGGGUGGAUACUGCUGAGCUUGAGUCCGGAAGAGGCGAGUGGAAUUCCCCGGUGUAGCGGUGAAAUGCGCAGAUAUCGGGAGGAACACCAAUGGCGAAGGCAGCUCGCUGGGACGUGACUGACGCUGAGACGCGAAAGUUUGGGUAGCAAAGAGG
rnacentral:rRNA from 1 species